GGUUGUGUGGCUUAGUGGUUUGAGUGUUGGACUAUGACUCUGGAGACCAGGGUUCGAUUCCCAGCUCAGCCA